GCGGAUGUCUUAUAGUGGUUAGUAUGCUUCCUUCCCAUUUUGGAAUGAGAUAAGGAAGAGACCCGAGUUCGAAUCUCGGCUUCCGCA